UUCGCUUUGUACACUUAAUGACCUCAUCCGCCUACAUUUUUGAGAUCGGAAUUCUUAUAUAUGUAACAUAGAGUAGAUGAGCUUUCAUUUGAUAUGCGACAACGCCAUGUUCUAGAAAGUUUGAUUUUUGCACUUAAUAACCCUAUCUUACUAAUUUUUGGAGGUCAGGAAUUUGAUAUUUGAAAUGUACACAUCAUGACCUUUCAUUUGAUAUACAACAACCCUAUCUUAAAAGAAAAUUUAUGUUUUGCACUCAAUGACCCCAUCCAACCCA
rnacentral:lncRNA from 1 species